ensembl:lncRNA
GCCCAGCAUCUGUUUCCUUUUGUCAUGGUUCCUGUGGCUUCCUCUGCAUGCACAGGGUUUGUUUGUGAACCAAUUCCUGGAGCAUGCACACUUUGUGAGCAAAGCCUCCUCCAGGCUUCUGGAGAUGGAGUUCCUUGCUUGCCACCUGGAGACCAGUCCUCUGCAUCGUUGUUCCAUGUUGUAAUUUUUGGACAUGACUGAAGACAUUUAAAACCCAGUAUCUUACAUGUUCUCAAGCUCUGAAUUGGAGAGUGAUUCUGGUAGUGGCAACAGGGAACACAGGCAGUGCCAUUAUGUCGGCUCUGUUUGAAGGAGUAGAGCAAGCCCACUGCUUUUGGAGAAGCAUGUCAAGAAGAGGACCAGAAAAGAUACUGCAGAUUAUGAAGGAAGAUUUCAAAAGGAGAAAUGCUGUGAGACACAUCUGUUCCUGGCAGCAUCAAUUUACUUCAAAAAAUGAUAAUGGACAUCAAAGAACCUCCAAUUGGAGUUUACUUUCUUUGUGGAAAAAGCUAGUCAUUUGGGCAAGAAACUGCUCUGACUUGACUGCUGACAGUAUGCUGUCCAAAUUGGAUAAGCAGAACACACACACAAAAAGUGACUGCCAAACUUUGCCAAGACAUGAUAGGAUAGUCCCUCAGAAUUCCUACUUCAUAGAAAUGCCAGGUAUUCUAGGCCUGUAGGCCCAAGAUGGAUGCCUCAACAUUGCAGCAGAAGCUUGAGUGACUGUCCAGGCAGCCAGAUAUCUCUGUCAUUUUGGAAGUGGUUUGUAUUGCACUUCUUGUUUACUCAGUUAGUAUUAUGUCCUUCUGGGGUCUUUGAUGGAGUUGAAGACUUGGUGAUUAUAGUUGCCCUUUUCCUCAGUUAUGAUAGAAGGUGAAUUAGGUACAGAGCUUUUGACUCAACAAGAUAGAAUAAUGGAGUAUUUUCUCUGAAUAUGCCAAAUACAAAUAGACUGGACAUUAUGAAUGUGAUUCUUACCUGAUAAUUGGUCUUAUUGUUUAUAAUUUUAUUAUGUUAAGAGUUAAAAUCUUUCCUUUUUAUUUAGACAAAAAGGGGGAAAUGUUGUAGAAUAUUCCUUUCACUGUAUGAAGAUGUGUCACUGUGGUCGGUUUAAUAAAGGGCUGAAUAGCCAUUAGCUAGGCAGGAAGAGGUUUAGCAGGACUUCUAGGGCCAGAGAGCUCUGAGAAGAAGAAAGGAGUUGCAAGCCAGGUACAGGGAGAACAAGACAUGCAGGAGGAGAGGUAAAAUCCACAAAUCACAUGGCCACACAUAGAUGAAUAGAAAUGGGUUAAUUUAAGUUAUAAGAGAUAGUGGGACAGGCCUAAGCUAUAGGGCAAGCUUUCAUAAUUAAUAAGAAGUCUCCAUGUCAUUUUCUGUGAACUGGCAGCUGUAGGGAGACAUUAUAGCCCCACCUCCUAGUAGCCCGGACAGUUGUGCCCGGACACGCCCGUGAGGGCGUGGUGAAGGGAGGUCUAAAGGUGACACGGGGAGGAUUCUUAAGGGACAGUGGACACAUGGAUAGCCCCUUCUCCCUUCUCCUAUCUCUGGUCUGGCUGCCUUGCUGACCCUGGCACGCUCUGGCUUGCGCUUGGCUGGUGUUUAUCUGAAUAAAGAAAUCUUAGCCUUAUGGACUGUGGAUUGAUCUCUU